UACGGGGGGGGGUAAGCGUUGUUCGGAAUUACUGGGCGUAAAGGGCUCGUAGGCGGCCAACUAAGUCGGACGUGAAAUCCCUCAGCUUAACUGGGGAACUGCGUCCGAUACUGGAUGGCUUGGAUUUGGGAGAGGGAUGCGGAAUUCCAGGUGUAGCGGUGAAAUGCGUAGAUAUCUGGAGGAACACCGGUGGCGAAGGCGGCAUCCUGGACCGGCAUUGACG
rnacentral:rRNA from 1 species